CUUGGGAGACGGGGAAGAUGAAGCCACCUAAUCGCCUUUUCAAAGCUGGGGCCUUGAGAGGAGGUAACGGGAGAAAAACUACAAAUCCCAGAACCCUCUGCUCCUCGGCGAGUCACGGAUGGUUGCCAUGGUUUCAGAAAACAAUAUGGCUGCUCCCAGCUGGGACACAAGUCUUGGGAUUAGAGAGGCAAAGUCGGGUCUGGGCGGCGGCAGCGGCGAGAGAGGAGGCGCUUGAGGGAUCGUGAGGUUGGGCUUGGACGCUGCACAGCUGGAACGGCCUGGCCUUGCCGAGGGCACCAAUGGCGGGCAGCGUGGACGAGGAGGCGCUGCACCAGCUGUACCUGUGGGUGGACAACAUCCCUCUGUCCCGGCCCAAGCGAAAUCUCUCCCGGGACUUCAGUGACGGAGUCCUGGUCGCAGAGGUCAUCAAGUUUUACUUCCCCAAGAUGGUGGAAAUGCACAAUUAUGUCCCUGCCAACUCUCUCCAGCAGAAGCUCAGCAACUGGGGUCACCUGAACAGGAAGGUGCUGAACAAGCUGAACUUCUCGGUACCAGAGGAUGUGAUGCGCAAGAUUGCCCAGUGUGCCCCGGGCGUGGUGGAGCUGGUGCUCAUUCCACUGAGGCAGCGCCUGGAGGAACGGCAGAGGCACAGGAAGCAGGGCGUGGGCUCCUUACAGGAGCUGGCCCCCCAGGAUGGCACUGACUACAUGGAUGUGGGUUUGUCCCAGAAGGCCCCAGGGGAAGGUGCCCCAGACCCCCAGGGAGGGGGGCAGCUCAGGCGGGGUCGGCUGCCAGCGCCCCGGCCUCCAGGGUAUACCCAGGCGCUGCAGGGCGACCCAAGCUUCGUCCUCCAGAUCGCUGAAAAGGAGCAAGAGCUGUUGGCCUCGCAGGAGACCGUGCAGGUCCUGCAGAUGAAGGUGAGGCGUUUGGAGCACCUGCUCCAGCUCAAGAACGUGCGCAUCGAAGACCUCUCCCGGCGGCUCCAGCAGGUGGAGCGUAAGCAGCGUGAGUUCCUGCCCACCUUGGCUGCCUCCCACCCCUUGAGUGGAAGAACCUUGUAGGCCCAGAGUGGGUCUCACCUUGUGGGCAUGUGGGCCCUGGGUGGCCAUUGCUUGACUGAUCCCAAGUUCUGUGGACUGAGGCCAACCUUGACUCCCAACCCUGACCAAGAUGCCAUGGCCAUGGUGUGACCCUAACUCUGAUCAUUUACUGACUACCAGUAGCAUUGAAAAUUUGUAAAUCCUGAGACCUCAAAAUUCUGCUUCUAGGCAUAUGCUCAGUAUAUACCCAGGGGAAACUUAAUCUCUUGUGUUCUGUGUUCUGUAACACAUGUACAGCAAUGUUCAUAGCAACAUUCUUUGUAAUAGCAAAAGAACUUGUGUUAUCUAUUACCAUGUAAGAAAUUACUACAAACUUAGUGGCUUUGAAUAGCAUACAUUUAUUAUCUCAAGAGUCCAGGCAUGGCUUAGCUGGGUUCUCUGCUUCACAGUUUCUCACAAGGCUGCAGUCAAAGUAUUGACCAAAGCAGUGGUCUCAUCUGAAGGCUUGAUUGGGGAAGGACUCACUUCCAAGUUCACUUGGUUGUUGAUAGAAUUCAGCUCCUGUGGGCUGUUGGCCUGAGGGCUUCAGUUUCUUGAAGGUUGUUAGCUGGUGGCUGCCCUCAUUUCCUUGCUAUGUGGCCAUCUCCAGUAUGGUAGUUUACUUCAUCAAAGCCAGCGAGGGAGAGAGUUAACAAAGUCUGCUAGCAAGAUGGAAGUUACAGUCUUAUCUAAUGUAAUCAUAGAAAUGACAUCCAUCACAUUUGUCGCAUCCUGUUUACUAGAAGUAAGUCACUAGGUCCAGCCCACAUUCAAGGGGAGAGGUACACAUAGAUGUGAAUACCAGGAGGCAGGGAUCAUUUUAGAAGCUGUCAACCACAAAGAGGAAAAAGCAAUGAAAGGAUAAAAUCUAGCAUAGUGGUUACCUCUGAGGAAGCAGAGGCAGAGAUGCAAGAAGCACAUGAGUAAAUAUUAUUUGUAAUAUCUUAGUUCUUGGG